rnacentral:rRNA from 1 species
AGGGCACCACCAGGAGUGGAGCCUGCGGCUUAAUUUGACUCAACACGGGAAAACUCACCCGGCCCGGACACCGUAAGGAUUGACAGACUGAGAGCUCUUUCUUAAUUCGGUGGGUGGUGGUGCAUGGCCGUUCUUAGUUGGUGGAGCGAUUUGUCUGGUUAAUUCCGAUAACGAACGAGACUCUGGCCUAUUAAAUAGACGAUAUAUUUAAAAGUAUAUCGCGCUUCUUAGAGGGACAAGCGGCGUCUAGCCGCAUGAAAUAGAGCAAUAACAGGUCUGUGAUGCCCUUAGAUGUCCGGGGCUGCACGCGCGCUACACUGAAAGAAUCAGUGUGCGUUACACCUAGUUCGGAAGAACCGGGUAACCCAAGUAAAUUCUUUCGUGCUUGGGAUAGGGAAUUGCAAUUAUUUCCCUUAAACGAGGAAUUCCCAGUAAAUGCGGGUCAUAAGCUCGCGUUGAUUACGUCCCUGCCCUUUGUACACACCGCCCGUCGCUACUACCGAUUGUAUGACUUAGUGA